CAGCAGCAGCAGCUAUGGGGAUACAGAAAACAGACUGGAUCCUUCUCUCAGGAAUGUAUUUGUCUUCCAUUUUAUUCCACUGCAGUGUCUGCUUGGAGGUUUCUCUCAGGACUAGACUGUUUAGUAGCACUUUUGUUUUUAUGGUAUUCAUAUGAUUCAUAAUCCUUCAAUGUCUGGUGUGAAGGGAAACCUUAAUCAGCAGAAAAAGAACUGUUAAUGUUGGUAUCAUUUUACUGUUUAAUGGUAUGGUAGAUAUCAAUCUGCUUCCAUUUAGGAAAAGAAAUGCAGUGGUUUUGUUGUGAAAACUGCUUUAUGUGAUGUGAUAAGAGCUCAUAUUCCCAUCUGGCAAGAGGGAGCAGAACAUUCAAAUUAUUUUAGCUAGCCCUGUGUUACUAGUGGGAAAGGGAAUGAAACAUUGCUAUGGAAGUAAGUGAAUGCCUUACACUGAAGAUGUCAAAUGUGGAGUUGACAGCCAGGAUCCUCAACUACUGUACACAGUUUUGGACAAUUACUGGUUAAUACAGGUCUGUUUUCACAUUGUGCCGUGGAAGCGUAUUCAACAUCUCCAGAUCAUCUGAGUAUUUCAUUACAUGUUCACUUAGAGUUUAACCCUGCUGAAUUCUCUGAAAUAUUUAACAGACUCUAGCCUGGGAAGAAUAUAAUGCAGAGUUAAGUGCACCACAGACUUAUUAAGCUGUCUGUGAACAGAAUUUAAUGGGAAGAACACACAUUCUUGGACAGUGCAGCAACCAAGCCUGAUCCUGCUUCCAGAGGAAUUCAAGGCCAAUCUAAAUCGUUGCUUUGGGAAACAUAAGCUUAGGACCAUGGCGAACCAGCAACACGUUCUGAGACAGGCUUCUGGAGUCUCUUAAAUCUAUAGAAGUUUUUCUAUUGACUGCAUUCCUUUAAUUUCUGUCUAGGUUUCCUGAUUCAAUAGCCUAUCAACCGUGUAACUUUCCUUUCUUGUUAUGUACGUAGAAUGUGAUCAGAUACUUAAGUUUGUAAUCAUUACUUUCUAUACAUAAAUCACAUACAGAUGGUGUAUUUCAAAUUCUAAACUGUAGUGGUUUUUUUUUCUGUUUCUGAAAACAGUGUAAAAUAUAAUAGCUUGCCUGUAUGAUUUUCAUAAAAGAGGAAAAAUAAAAAAAAGAAACAAACACAAAUACAAGCCUUCUAGACCAUUCAGCAAUAGUAAACAUUCUUUACACCUUUUCUAAAUUUGCUAUAAACUUGCAAGUUUAUUAAAUUGUAUUGUU